rnacentral:lncRNA from 1 species
CUUCUAUUGUGUUGUACAUUCCUGCAGCUCUCUCCCUCUCUCUAGUCCUCCUUUCAGGAAAAAAGAAUCUAGCUCUUAUACUUCUCCAUACUUUGUAAUCUUUUUUUUUUGAAAGAGUCCAUACUUUGUAAUCAGAGCACCGUACUCAGCCUUCUAUUGCCAUGCGAAUCGCCAAACGCCCCGGUACACCGCCCGCGACCUCCGCCCCUGGUCUCCACCACUCACAUGUCCCCUCUCUUUAUUUAUUUUUCUGCGUAAUCCUAAUCCCUCUGACUCCUCUAGCACCCACGUCCGUUUCUUCUCUUCCAUCCCCUCGUCUCUUUCCUCCCUUCUUCUUUCUUCCUCCAGCACGAGCCCGUGCUCCUGGUCAAGCGCCGUGGCUGACCCGGCUUGGCCUCCCUGCGCCGUCCAGCUUGGUCGCCGCUUGCCCCCGGUGAAGCCGCGGGCCGCCAGGAGGAAGGGGAGCGUGUGGGCGUGGCGACUGGCACGGCUGCCCGAGGCCAUGGCUGCCACCCCCUCUCUCCUUUGGACGCCGCCCCCAUCCCCCGGCCGGAGGAACGAAGCCGCCCCCUUGCUCCCCCGACGUCCGCCGACCCUGCCGUCCCCAUCUGCGGCCUCCACUCCGCCGCCAUCCCGGGCUCUGCCGCCGCCGCCGUUGUCCCGGCUGCCCCCAUCGCUCGGAUCUUGGUAUUAAUUUGAUUUGUGUAUCCCAUCGCAGGACAUGGAUAAAUGUACAUGUGGUACUUUGAUUUGGGAUCUUGUGGUUUCUGUUUGAACCAAGAGUACUAAAAACAUAGAUCAAUGAGGUACUUUGAUUGGUGAGGUACUUAGGAAGGAAGGGGACAAUACAAACAUGUGAUGAUGCCUUGUUGAAUUCGAGUACUUAGGUACUUGGUUUUGUUGAAUUUAAAGUUGAAUUUGAGUUUUCCUUACGAUUCCUUCUUUCUAUCUCUUUGAUCCAUCCAUUGCUGAUCGUUAUGAUUGAGGAUUGAUGAAGUACUUAGGUAUAUGCAAUGUACUUUAAUGUAUUUGUCAUUUAAUUUGAUGUAUCUGGGUAUCUUAAUGUACUCGUCAUGUAUCUGUCAUGUAUUCUGAUUUUUUUCUGGAUAAAUGUUAUUUACCAUACGAUGUAUUUGUUAUAUAAGUCCAUGUACACGAGAUACUUAAAAAUUGAUAAGGUACCUGUGAUAUACCAUACAAUGUACUAGUCUCAUAUGUUCAUGUAUACGAGGUAUUUGAAAACUGAUAAGUUAUAAUCCAAUACCAUAAUGUACUAAAUAUGUACUUAAAAACAUGACAUGUACCACAACGUACUUGAAAGUGGGACACACAGAUAGAAAGAGAUAGAAAACCAAAGAAAAAUAAAGAGUAGUCAGAAAAAAGUAAGUACCUGACACAGGUAAUUUCUCUGUUAAUCUCUCUGCAGUAUAUGCCAAAUUUGAUGGGCCUGAGAUAAAACAUGUGGCUGCGAAGGGGUGUAGAUAGGGUGAGGGGCACAAGCUCCGCGUUAAAUACCAGUCAGCAAUCUACACCAAUGCGAUCGAUUGUUUUGAUUCAUUCCUAUUGUACCCAAGCUGAUCUACGCACCGUGGGGCAAAGGCGGAGCUAGUUACGCAGUUGUGUGAUUAAUUAAAUUUAAACGGAGUAAAAGCCGGUACUUUUGCUAAAGGAGGUAAAGUUAGAAUUUUCGCUAAACGGGGUAAUUGCUGUCAAGAAUUCUAAAGUAGAGAGGGUAAACACUGCUCAAAACGUUAUGAUGUUGUUCUUGACAACAAUUAGAGUAAGGGGUGUCAAUACGCGAUGACACAAGUUCGGGUAUAAAAGUAGGGCGUGUAUGCCGGCCUUAUAGCGAAGGUCGUCGUACACUUGGACAAGUUGACACGUCGAUAUUUUUUUAAUAGGUUCGGUCGACCUUGCGGGUGCGACUUAAUCCUAUGUUAGGAAAGGCUUCGAGGGGGUUGUGAGCCGAGGGCUUGGGCCGAGCGGAUCUUCCCAAGACACCUUUUGGCGAGAGAUUCGUCGGGGCCGUCUCGUACUUGGACCGAACGCGUCUUUCUAAUUAUCGAGGUUAGGAUACCCUCGGAUCUCUAACCCAACCCCUUCUCCUUCGAGCCCGUGCCAACCAAGGUUAGCUCGGAGCCUCGAAACUAGAGUCCCCUAGAAGGCUUCCUCGAGGCCAAUCGACUUUCAGUCAAGAGCGGCGCGCGAGAGCGAACCUUAGAGGGAGCACUCUAGCCCUCUCCCCUUGAGUUUAUUUAAGUGAGAGUGAAUGGUACAUGCCCCGUUGGGGGGUAUUUAUAGCCUAGGGAUCCAUGACAAAAGACCAUGGUUAUCCUUGAGGAAGAGAGAAAAGUGGGGGCAAAAUGGUAAAAGUAGCUCUUUUGGUCCAUAACUUUUGUGUGCACCAUGCGAGAAAAGUGGGGCUUGGUCCAUGGUCUACCAUGGACUAAGGCCCCCCUCGUCAAACCUUUCUUGCCCCUACUCUAGCUCAUUUGACCCUUUGACCAUGGCAUGAGAGGCCUGACUUGUUGACUUGUCUCCCUUCGCCAUGUAGGAUUGAUUGUGCCACGUGGGCGUCUUGAUUCGUGCUUGUGAAAUGUUGACUUGGUCGCUGCCACGUAGGAUUUACGGCCCGGCCCAUACAAGGUUUUUUAUUUUACUACAACAGUAGCCCCCUUGAGCUGGAUGCAUUGAGAAUGCCUUCGGGUCAACCUUCGAUGCAAGACUCCCGAGAUCUUCCAUUCGCGAGAGAAAAAUGAUACCUCGGUGGAUUUCCUGCAAAAAACAGGAUCCUUGGUGGAGUUGCGGGGAAAUUCCAUGCCCACGACGAAUUUCUCUGCGAGAAAUCGAGUUUCGGGGGGUAUUUUAGCAAAAACCGGGACCCUAGGGGCCUCUUUGCGAGAAAUCCGGUGUCUCGGAGGACUUUUUUGCAAAAAUCAGGGGCCCUGCGGGCCUCCCUGAGCCGGGCCAGCCUUGUGCACGCGCGGGUGCGGGAUGGCCGCUAGCUGGGCCGCCUCAGGGAGGCUUCUUCUCAGUUUUUUUCUUUUUUUUCAGGCCGGCCUUCCUGGGCUGUUGCUGGGCCGAGGCCCAGCCGGGCCCCGAUACCGGUUCAGUUCAAGUGACCCGAUCCGACGGCUGGGGGCGUCCCUUAGCCCUAGAUCGGACGGCUGCUGACGAGGGGAGCUGCUGCUCCGGUCGGGGCCGCGCGGGGGGGGGGGGGCUCCCUUUUCCCUCCUCCCCUUCCUUUUUGGAAAGAGGGCUUGUCUAUUUGCUAUUUCCGUCGGCCUUGGACAGGGGAGAGGACGACGAUGUGUCGCUGGAGGAUUGGCUUGGGCCUGGACGCCCAGGAGCUUGCUGGCCUAUAAAAUGGAGCCCUUAGGCACUGAGAAGUUUCACACCAUACUCGUUUGGUUUGCCCGGUGUCGAAGACGCGCUCGGCGGCACCCAGCACUCCUUUGAGGGCUUGGUGUAGUAGGGAGCUCCGCAGGGGCGCUAGCCAUUCCACGGCAACGACGGAGGUUGUGCUGGUUGUUGGGGGACUGCCGCGGAAGCUCUCCAUCGUCGAGCCUUCAUGGGGGCACGGAGCACGUCCGAGGCCGCUCGGGGCAAGGUGUCGAUCGUGCCUCCAAGUACUUCCGGGUGACCUUCGUUGUUGGCCGCGCCCUUCCUGCUCGUGCGAGGGUGAGUGGAGCUUCGUGGCAUAUGCUUUGGUGCCCUUCGGUCGUCGGUGAGGCUUGCGGACGUUUCGUCGAGCACCUUGGGAGCACUCCGGGUAAUCACGGCAUGGCACGCGUCUUGGCAUGGCUUGGCGAGGUCAUGGCGUUGGCGUGGCCAGGCGGGGGCGCGACGCACGCACAGGGGCGGCACGGCGCGGGAGCGGCGCGCGUACGGGCACGGCUCGGCGUGGGCGCGGCGUCGCUAGGGGGCAGGCACGGGCUCGGCGCGGCGGGGGCGCGCGUGCUCAGGACGGCGCGGCACGGGCGGGGCGCACGCACGGGGAUGGCGCGGCGCGGGCGGGGCGCGCACGAGCGCGGCACGGCGUGGGCGUGGCCAGGGUGUGGCUUGGCCGGAGCGCGGCGCGCGCGCGGGCGCGGCUAGGCGGGCACGGGAGUGGCUCGGCGGGAGCGCGGUGCUCGCACGGGCACGGCUAGGCGGGCGCGUAGGCACCGGCGCGGGAGCGUCUUCGCGUCGAAUACCAUGCGCACAGAGGAGGCGGCCUUCUUCCCUUUCUUCCUGCGUUGGGAUGGCUGGAUGAUGCGGGGACUGCGGCCCGCGGGAGGGCCCAACGGGCCCGGGCUUCCCUUCCUCCUCCUUCGUCCUUUCCAUACGUUGCUAAUUUUUGGCAGUUUUUUUUUGCACGUGAGAUGGCGGGACCCGAUGUCGAGCGUCCGACAGGUGAGCCGCCGAGGGGGUCUUCUGCGGCGCAGCUUGCGGCGAACUGACCGUCGCGGAAGAAGAAGGUCUCCUUCUGCCCUCGCGGUGGUCCUCCCUUGGUUUCGACGGCGUCGGUGGACGCUGACGGUUGGGCGCACGACCACCUUCACCCUUCGUCGAUGAGCCCCGAGGAUCUUGCCCAGUUGGAGGAGGCGGGAUACUUCCCUAAGGGGGAUGGUAUUCUGCCUGAUGGUGAGGAGGUGAGGCUCGACUAGUGGCGGCGUCCAAGAUGCAUCGUGGCAUUCUCGGCUUGGUUCCACGCUGGUUUGUGCGUGCCUGUUCACCCCUUCCUAUUGGAGCUCUUGAAGACCUACGGCAUCGAGUUGGCCCAGCUUCACCCGUCGGCGAUCGUGAGGUUGAACGUUUUCAGGUGGCUGUGUGAGACGGCGCUUCACGAGGAGCCCUCAAUGAAGCUUCUGUUGUUCAACUUCACUGUGGAGGUGAGGGAGUUGCUCACCCUGGACGGCUUUUCUUUGAGCGCCUUUGAUUCGGUGAACCUGAGGCUUCGUUCUGGCUUCGGGGACGAUUUCCUUCUCAUGCCGGGGAAGAGUGCAGAGAAGUUGUUCCUCAAGUGGAGUCCUAGUGGUUUCUUCUCCGGGCUUCGAAGACCCAUCUUCGACACACGGGUGAUCUCCCCCGGCACUGUGGGGCCGGAGGUCUCAGGGAGGUGUCUCACCCCGGCGAUCCUCGAUCAGCCGACCUUUGGAAGGUGGCCAAGAUCAAGGAGGUGUCCGCUGAGAGGAGAUUUCGUGACCUCAUGGAGGAGAUGGUGAUGGCUAGACGCUUCAUAAUGAGGAGCCGUCCGAGGUCCGAGACUGGGAUCCCUCGAUCUUUUCGUCCUCCACAGCUCGUCACCGCACGUGAGUGGCGUCCUUCCCCCCUUUGUGCUUUGAUUGUUUUCCCUUGUGAAGGUACUUGAUGGUUUUGGCUUGUCUUUUUCAGCGACGUUUUCCAAGGAGAGGGCGGCGUUGUGGGCCACGCAGCUAAUAGGUCCGUACGGCGGGGCAGAGCACCGCGACUACGAGACCAAGAUUAGCGAGGGGGGAUGCCACAACGUCAUUGCGAGGUGCUUCGGGAAGAUGGUGCCUGUGCGACAGGACCCGAAGCUCGGUCGCCUUCUCCGAGUGGGUGAUCGCUACUCCCGCUUGGCGACACCGUCGAUGUUGGCGGUGGGGUCCAAGCUGAGGGACUCCUGCGGGAAGGCGAAGGCGGGAACGGCGGUGCUGGGCUUGGCGGUGCCUGUCGCGCCGAUCCCCAAGAUACCUCGUCCGUCGAGUGGAUGCAAGAGGAAAGCUCCCCUGACUUCUUCUCCUUCUCUUGACUACGCCCCGACAGAUUCGGCGGAUCCUAUCGUGGGCGAGUCAAGGUCUCCCCUGAGGGUGACCUUGGACCUGCACAUUAAGGGGAAGAUUGGACUUGAGCAAGUUCUUCCUCCUUCGAGUCACGAGGUUGAGGCUUUCACUCGUGAGACGGGGCUUCGGCUUCGGAGCGACUCGGUGGUGGAGUUGUCGACCGGAGCCAGCGGUGCGCGCGUCCAGGUGUUCUCCAUUGGUCGCGAGCGCCCCGAGGAGGAUGCUCCUACCUCGGGUGAGUGCCUUUCUCUUUUGGUCACGUCAUUCUUUUUCUGAACGAUUCUGACAUGAUCUCCUUGCUUUGUUUUUAGGUGCGAGGGCCACGGAGCCCGAGGUUCUCGAGGGCGAGCCCCCGACUCAAGCGAGGAUGGAGCACUUCCGACGGCCGAGGAUGGAGCGAGAGACCAUUUCGUGACACUGGAGCUGGUGAGCAUACGUGAUGUAUCUCCCUUUGUCCUUCGGGUUGGUUUUGUGCUAACUCCCUCUCCUUUGCAGGUGAGGGGUUUGGUCGAGGUCGUGGGUGCCCUUCCUGCCCUCAAGACUCAGGUGGGGGCGCUUUCUGCUGCUUUGUACGUGGAGAUGUCCAAGUCUACCCUUGCCUUGAGUGAGUUGGCUUCGGAGAGGGUGCGGCGCGAUGCCGUGGAGGCUGAGCUUUCCCGCGUUUCGGUGGAGCUCGUGGCCGUGGAGACCAGGGCUCGACUUUCUGAGGAGCGCAGAAGGACGAGAUCGCGAGGACCCGUCGAGCUGAGGAGAACUUGGUGGUGGCCAACCUUGAUAGGGAGCAUGCCCGCGCGGAGGCAACUUCCAUCAAGGUGGAGUUGGCGGCAGCGGGUGAUGGCCUGAUGCUCGCUCCUCGUGCUCGUCCUCCUCCGGAUCGUUGUCCCGAUGUGGUUUCGCUUUUGCUUGCCUAGGCCACCGAGAUUCGGGAGACGAUGACUUGCGUGAGGAGUGUUCCCCAGCCGGAUCUUCCUCCGUGUUGCACGGUGGAUGAGGCGAGCAGGGUGCUUACUUCCCAGGUGGAGCUCAUUGAGCCUACCGUGAAGAAGUGCCUCCUGAGUACGGGUGCCCGACUUGUUUCGUCGGCGGUUGCGGCAGUCCUUGACGGUGGUGCCGGGAUGAGCGGGCUUGAGGGUGAGAUGUCUCACGAGGUGAAGAAGUUUCUGGCGGACCAGGGAGCUCCUCUUCGCGCUCAGGCUCGAUGCUUCGUGCUUUGCCUUGAGCCCGCUCUUCAGUAGGGUGACGGUGAGGCGUGAGCCUCGUCGCCCCCGGAGGUGGUGAUGUACCUCAGCUGCUUACUUAUGCGAUGUUGCAUAUCCCCACUUGACUUAGCCUCAUGGCUAGCAUGCUUAGGCUCUUAGUCGUAGAGGUUGUAAGGCAACAUUAUCGGAAAUGUUAACCUUGCUUUAGCAUGUAUUUCUCAUGUUUCACCAUGUAGUCGACAUUAUCGAAAAUGUUAACUUGGCUCAACAUGUGUUUUUUGGAGUACUAUAUUUCCUUCUUGUGAAGUAUUAUAUUUCCUUAGUUUAUACAGCUCGCGAUCGUUCGCUAUGAUUGCACUUUUGUGCCAUCAAUUGCUGUCGCCGUUGGGAUACAACUUGGCUUCGGCGCCUUAGGCCAUGGUUACGAGCCACGGGUCCUAGUAUCCUUGUGAGGGUCGCUAUCAAUAUGCCGGUAGUGAUCCGGACAUUUCGACCUGCCGUUCGGGAAAUUUCAUGCGGAAUUUUCCCUCUUCGGACUUCAGGAAGAUAUGCUUUCCCGCGAUUAUUAUGGAGCCUUAACUCGGUUACUAUCAUGCAGGCCCGUGCGCGACGUCUCGCAUACGGGUAGCAUGGUUCUCCGAGGUAAGUAUGCUCAUGCAUAACUCGCUUAUUUACGGUUCUCCUUAAAUGUGUUUUAAGGAGUUUCCGGCCCUCGGGGGACUUGGUUCUACUUGGCGGAUGGCCUCGAGCCACGCUAGGAUCUACCAAGGAACAAGUCACUAGUAGUGACCUAUGUCCAUGGACAUUUUUAGAGGAUGCUUGGGCCAACGGAGGCCUUUUCGCGUUCCUCGGUGAGCGGCACAGGGGCAGCGGCUCUUUUACGACGAUGAGUCGUGUGAGUGUCUCGUGUCACUCUUAAUUUUUCCUCAAAAACUUGCUUUAUUGAUCCUUGCUUUCUUGUCUUAAGGUAUGGCCCGAUGGGCACUUACAAGCCUUAUGUAGACGUGGCCUCAUUGGCGCUUAUGAUCCCUCGAAGUUUCGUAGGGAAGAGGCCGGUUGGGCGCUGAUGAUCUUCUUUCGGGAGCGGCAAUGAUUGCCCUUGAAGGUUCUUAGGCGUAGAAACACCGGAGCUUGUCGCCGUUCCAGGCAUGGACAAGAUUUUUCCCUUUCAUGUUCUCGAGGUGGUAUGCACCAUUUCCCAAUACUACGGUGAUGCGGUAUGGUCCUUCCCAUUUAGGGUCGAGUUUGCGCUGGAGCUUUGGGUCGACAUUCUUUUUCAGCACGAGAUCUCCUUGGGAGAAGGCUCAUUCCCACACUCUUGGGUUGUAGAAGCGUGCGGCGCUUUGCUCGUAGAUGGCGUGCCUCAUGAGAGCUUUGUCACGUGCUUCUUCCACAAGAUCGACGGCCGUCUUGUGAUGCUCUUCAUUUUCGAUGAAGGCGAUUGGGGUGGCUUCUUGGAGCCUUUCAACUCGAGGUGAGCGGAACUCGACCUCGGCGGGAAGAACUGCUUCGGCUCCAUACACCAAAGAGAAUGGUGUUCGGCCCGUGAAACGGCUUACGGAGGUGCGUAUGUCCCAAACCACGCUAGCGAGUUCAUCUUCCCAUGCUCCCCUUGCUUUGCUAACCGUGUGCUCUACCCUUCAGCGGAGUUCUUGGAGUAUUAGUCCAUUUGCCCUUUCGCAUGCGCCGUUGCUCUUUGGGUAAGCUACGGAUGCGAACUGCAGUUUGAUCUCAAGGCAUUCGCAGAAUUUGAUGAAUUCCACACAGUCGAUCUGUUUGCCAUUGUCCACGGUUUGCUGUCGCGGGACGCCAUAUCAGCAUAUGAUGUUUUCCCAGAAAAAAUUUUGAACGGCCUGUGACCUGAUCUUGCUGAGCGUCGCUGCUUCUAUCCAUUUGGAGAAGUAAUCAAUCGUCACCACGACGUACUUGCAGCCCCCGUUGCAUGUGGGGAAAGGUCCAAGAAGGUCCAUUCCCCAGUGUGCAAAUGGCCAUGUUAUCAGGAUAUUCUUCAGGGAAGUCACGGGCGCAUGGAUUGACUUAGCCAUUUUCUAGCAAACUUCGCAUUUCCGCAAUAUGGUGAUUGCAUCUUGCACCAUGGUGGGCCAAUAGAAUCAUUGACGCAAGGCUUUUGCCGCGGUGGCUCUUGGCGCAAGGUGGUGGCCGCAUAUUCUUGAAUGGAUUUUCAGGAGGAGCUUGGCUCCCCGGUCAGGAGUUAUGCAUUUAAGCAAUGCGGCCACUCCUUUCUUGUAUAGGAUGCCGUCGAGGAUAACGGACAUCUUGGCUUUUGCGAGCAGAGUUUUGGCGCUUGGGCCUUCUGCUUCUUCGUCCAUCUCGCCUUUCAAGGCGCGGAUAAUCGGUGUCAUCCAAGAGGGUGGGGCGUCGAUGACCAUGCUGGUCUUUGAAGCUUCGUCAAGGGCGUCGGCUUCUUUCUUUAUGGAUGGGGCGCGAAUUACUUCGAAGAAUGCACCGGGUGGCAGCGGUUCUUUGGAACCGGCCGUUCGGGCUAACCUGUCGGCCAGAUGAUUUUCUCCUUGUGGAAUGCGUCGUGCCUCCAUGCCCAGGAAAUACCGUUCCAUCUUACGAACUUUUUCGAUAUAUUUCUUCACCGUUUCAUCAAGGCAUUGAUAUGACUUGUCCAUUUGGUUUAUCACCAGUUGGGAGUCUCCUUGGAUGAGAAAGCGUCAGACUCUCAUGGCCUUGGCCAGUCGAAGCCCGAGGAGCAGCGCCUCAUAUUCCGCCAUAUUAUUGGUGGCGUUGAAGUCAAGAUGGGCAGUACUUCAACAUUUUGCCUUCGGGGCUGAUGAGUAUGACUCUGGCCCCGGCACCGUCGAGACGCUUGGAACCAUCGAACCUCAUUAUCCAAUAUGGUUCGGGGGGCUCGAUUUUGGAUGUGAUUUCUUCAGGCGGGACUAGUGGAGCAUGCCACUCGGCCACAAAGUCAGCCAGGACUUGGGAUUUUAUGGCCGUUCUCGCCGUGAGUUCUAGCGAGAAAGGGGCUAAUUCCGUUGCCCAUUUGGCGAUUCUUCUGGUGGCUUCCUUAUUGCCGAAGAAUUCCUUGAGUGGGAAGGUAGUUGGCACCGUGAUGGUGUGGCUCAUGAAGUAAUGACGGAGUUUUCGAGAGGCCAUGAGGAGGGCGUAUGUGAUCUUCUCGAUCUGGGUGUAUCGACCCUUGGCUCCUCCCAAGGCUUCGCUCACGUAAUAUAUUGGGCGUUGUGACCCGUCUUCCUCCUUCACGAGUGCGACACUUACGGCGACCGGGGUCGCGGCCAGGUACAGGAGCAAAGGCUCUCCUUGCUUUGGGCUCGUGACAAGCGGAGGGGUCGACAAAUAGGUCUUGAGUUCUUCGAAGGCCCUUUGAGCUUCGUCGGUCCACUCAAAGUUGUCGAUGCUUCUUAAGGCUUUGAAAAAAAGGAAGACCCCUCGUUGAGAGACGAGGAAGCCCAUGAGUUUUUCUCCUCGAACUCCAAAUGCACACUUCUCCGAAUUGAGCUUUACGCCGUACUUGCAAAGAUUGUCGAAGGUUUCCUGCAGGUCCUGGGGAUGGGUCUUCGCAACUUGACUUUUGAUGACGGCGUUGUCAACGUAGACUUCGACGUUUCUCCCCAAUUGUUCUUUGAGGAUGAGACUGACGAGGCGUUGGAAAGUUGCGCCGGCGUUCCUCAAUCCAAAAGGCAUUCUGCGAUAACAGAAGGUGCCGACGGGAGUGAUGAAGCUGGUCUUUUUCUCGUCUUUCUCGGCCAUGUGGAUUUGGUGAUACCCUAAAUAGGUGUCUAAGAGGCUUAAACUUUCGCAUUCCGCCGUGGAGUCGAUCAGUUGGUCGAUCCGAGGGAGCGGAUAGUCGUCCUUGGGGCAUGCCUUGUUCAAGUCGGUGAAGUUGACACACAUUCGCCACUUGCCGUUGGCUUUCUUUACCAAGACCGGAUUGGCCAACCACUCGGGGUGCCAAACUUCUCGGAUGAGCCCGGCGUUGGAGAGUUUAGCAAUUUCUUGUUUGAUGACUUCGCUUCGCUCGGUGGAGAGCUUCCGAAGCUUUUGCUUCACGGGAGCUUUGUCGGGUCUCACGGCGAGGCGAUGUUCCAUGACGUCGGGCGGGACUCGUCCCAUGUUGGAAGGUGACCAAGCGAAGAUGUCGGAAUUCCUCCCAAUGAUGAGUUCUUCCUCGAGUUUACUCAGGAGGUCGGCUCCAAUCUUCACCGUGCGCGUGGCGUCAUCUUGGGAGAUGCGUACUUCCUUGAGCUCUCCUUCGGGGAGAGGCUUGGGGAUGUAGCGCUCCUGGGGAUUGGCUUCGGAUGCUCCCGCGUUCGAAAGCAAGUUAAUACUCUUGGAUGAUUCUCCCUUUUCGGCGCACUUGGUCUCAUGACGGUAGAGUGUCUUCCUAUCGGAAGAUUACUCGCCGCGGACCGUUAUCAUGCCCUUCGGGCCUGGGAUCUUCAUGCACAAGAGGUUGUGGUGGAUGGCGGCGCAAAGACGGUUUAGUGUCGUCCUCCCGAGGAUAUGGCGUUAAAGGAGGCCUCCAUAUCCACCACGUCGAAGCGUACGAGCUCGGUUCGAUGGUUUGUGGCGUCUCCGAAGGUCGUGAGGAGCUCAAUUUGUCCGAGCAGCUUAAUAGACUUCCUCGGCAUGAAACCGGUGAGGGGAUAAAGGGACGGCUGAAGCGAUCCGUUCUUGUAUCCCCCCUGUGGCUCCAUCAGCUUCUUUAAUGUGCUCAGAUAUAGGAUGUCGGCGGAGCUUCCGCCAUCCACGAGAAUCUUCUUGAGCUCACAAUUGGCGACGAUCGCCGUCACAAAGAGGGCGUCGUCAUGUGGGAAGCGUAUCCCCUUGGCGUCUUCUUCGGUGAAGGCAAUUGGCACGCUCGCCCAUUUGGGUGGUGGUGUCGGGGUAAAGGUUCCCACGACAUUGACUUCGUGAGCAUACUCCUUGUGUUGUCGCUUUGAUCCCCGUACCGUGACGGAGCCCCCAAGUAUCACUCCGACGUGAUGUGCGGGUUCCUGGAAAGGGAGGUUAUCCUCCUUGGGUGCUGGGUCAGCAACAAGGACGUUGGCGGGGCGUGAAGCCUCAGCCGUCUUCUCAUCCUUGUGCCGGGCUUGCAUUCGUGCCUGGAACUCUUCGCGAGCCGCGAUGAGAGUGUUGCACUCUUCGGUGCUGUGGCUUGCCGAGUUGUGGAUAAGGCAUCUCCUAGUUCCCCCCUCGGCGAGGCGAGGUGGCUUCUUGGGUUGCCAAGUUUUUUGGGAUGGUGCUUGUCCUUCGACGGCGAAGAUUUUCCGGGUUUGGUCGCCGGGGGCCUUUUUCCCCCACCUCCUCUUCUUCUUGGAAGACGACGUAGGCGCAGGGGGUUUGUCGGAUGAGGGAGCUCCUUCGGGAGCGGCGCGUGGCGCGUCUUUUUUGGCGAUGUCCUCGUCUUUACCCCGGGCGUAUUCUUCCAAGAUUUGAUAGAGCUCCUCGGUCGUCUUCGGUGGGUUACGACUUAGAGCCCGAUUCACUUCUCCUUGGAGAGGACCUUGCAUGCAUGCGUUGAUCACGAUGGUUGACGGCGGGUUGGCGAUUUGGCUUCGCACCUUCGCAAAGCGAUGGAAGAAGCUUCGAAGGGAUUCCCCAGGCUUUUGUUUCACGGCGUAUAGCUCGUGAGCCUGCGUGGCUUGAGGUGGUACCUGGUGGCCGCCUUGUUCGACCCCGGCGGGGGGAGCAAGGGGCGACUUGGAGAGCGCCUUGUGGCGGAAGCCCCCAAUAAGGAUGGUACCAAGGAGCUCCUUAGGCGAUCGGGGUGAGCGCCAGUGGAGGUAAUCCCGAGUUGGAGGGGUCGUAGGCCGGGACUCCUUGGUUUUCUGGCAUGCAUCCUCCUGACGCCACAUUGUUUCCUCUUGUAGGUUCCGAGGGCAGGGUUACCACCGGUUGUAGGGAAGGUGGCGCGAAGCCCAUCGAGCGAGGCAUGCCGAGUUCCGUAUCCCCUGCGGGGGCGGCAACUUUAGGCAGCUCGCUGAUCCUUGCCACCAAGUUGGUGCGUGUCGAGGGACCGCCGCCGACGGUUUUGAGCACCUCGGUUCGUUCCGGGACCGCCGGGAGCGGAGGGGUGACCGCGACUUCCGUCGUGGCGACCAUGCUUGCGGCGGUGUCCGGAUUGGUGAGGAUUCCUUCUCCUCGGGAGCCCUCGAGGCACUUGCUUUCUUUGUUUGCAACCGUGUAGACUUCGCGGCAAGUUGGGAACCCGAUGAAGUAGGCUUCGUCGGGGCCAUUAGAUCUUCAAUUGCGGCGAGGUUCCCCACGGUCGGCGCCACUGUGGUUGUUCUCGACAACAAUUAGAGUAAGGGGUGCCAAUGCGCGAUGGCACAAGUUUGGGUAUAAAAGUAGGGCGUGUACGCCGGCCUUAUGCGUACACUUGGACAAGUUGACACGUCGAUAUUUUUUUAAUAGGUUCGGUCGACCCUGCGGGUGCGACUUAAUCCUAUGUUAGGAAAGGCUUCGAGGGGGUUGUGAGCCGAGGGCUUGGGCCGAGCGGAUCUUCCCAAGACACCUUUUGGCGAGAGAUUCGUCGGGGCCGCCUCGUACUUGGACCGAACGCGUCUUUCUAAUUAUCGAGGUUAGGAUACCCUCGGAUCUCUAACCCAACCCCUUCUCCUUCGAGCCCGUGCCAACCAAGGUUAGCUCGGAGCCUCGAAACUAGAGUCCCCUAGAAGGCUUCCUCGAGGCCAAUCGACUUUCAGUCAAGAGCGGCGCGCGAGAGCGAACCUUAGAGGGAGCACUCUAGCCCUCUCCCCUUGAGUUUAUUUAAGUGAGAGUGAAUGGUACAUGCCCCGUUGGGAGGUAUUUAUAGCCUAGGGAUCCAUGACAAAAGACCAUGGUUAUCCUUGAGGAAGAGAGAAAAGUGGGGGCAAAAUGGUAAAAGUAGCUCUUUUGGUCCAUAACUUUUGUGUGCACCAUGCGAGAAAAGUGGGGCUUGGUCCAUGGUCUACCAUGGACUAAGGCCCCCCUCGUCAAACCUUUCUUGCCCCUACUCUAGCUCAUUUGACCCUUUGACCAUGGCAUGAGAGGCCUGACUUGUUGACUUGUCUCCCUUCGCCAUGUAGGAUUGACUGCGCCACGUGGAUGUCUUGACUCGUGCUUGUGAAAUGUUGACUUGAUCGCUGCCACGUAGGAUUUACGGUCCGGCCCAUAUAAUGGUUUUAUUUUACUGCAACAUGUUACUACUAUCAACAGAUCAAUUAUUAGCUGUCAUAGAAAAAUAAGUGUUAUUUGUAAAGAGAAUGCUUUCCAGAAAGACCAAAGAUGCAUCUAUCUCGAUGUCCCUGCUGAUUCGUCAAGAAAGAUUGACCUAAUUUGAGAAAAAACUAGACAAGAACCUAAAACACGGUGCCAGUUUUGACACACAUUACGGUCUGGCAAGGAUAAAUUAGUGAUGAGAUUAAUUUGUCGUCUUCCUCCUCUUCGUCGUUGCUACAUUCGUCCUCAUCUUUCUCCUCGUUUUCAUCCUCUUCCUCCUCCUGGUCGUUGCAAUCGUCCUCGACGUUCCCAGCCAAUGCUUUCUCCUUGAGCGCCUUAAGCAGCAAACCUAGCGCGGUCCAUGUCCUUCUUCUUGGACCUGGGCAUCAGGUUUUCCGCGACAGCGGCCGGCGACAUGGUGACCUCCUCCAAGAGUUGUCUAAUUUCACCCAACAGGGGAUGCUCCUCGAUCCCGGGGUAGUUCUUGGCGAGCACCUUGAAGGACUCGAAGCAGCAGUCGGACAUCUCCAUGUGGAAAUCCAUCCUGCCCCGGCGAAUGAGCGCCAGGUCAAGGUUCUCCUUGUGGUUGGUCAUCCGCUGGGUUGUCCCACAUAGUGUGCACGUUUGCGUGAUAUUCGAAUAAAUACGGCAUGGAACUAAACAUGGUGGGUGAGAACGAACAACCCUGUUUUAACCACUAGGCCAUACACCUAUCCAUUUUAUAUAGAUAUUAUAAUAGAUCAAUUAGCUUAACAAUUAAGUAAACCAAACACAUAAUUUUGUGUUACAGUAGUUUUAUUCUACUACGUUGUAAAAAACGCUUUGUUCGUGCGCACAUAUCAGGGUCAUGGUUUUUAAGGUAGUAAGGCGAGGCCCUACGACCCCUUUUCAACUUUUAAGCGCUAAAACGAGGCGACACCUUACACUCGUUAGACCUACUAUAGUAGCACAAUAUAUUGGCUAUAGGGUAGAAAUACAUAUCUUGAAAUUCUUGAGCAAUCAUAGGGACAACAUCCACUCAUUGAUUGGUAGCAUCUCAACUGAAGUAUAGGAAUCAUAGGGACAAGAAUUAAGAAAUUCAAGGGACAUCAAUCAAUGAAUCAAAUAUGGUAACUAACCAUGAUCAUAGGGACAACAAUCAAGUGAAUCAAACAUGGUAACCGAUCAUGAUUGGUAGGUAGCAUAUGAAGGAUAGGAAUACGUCACAAUUUGCGAGGCCUUGACUAGUGUUUGCCUUGAUUUCAGGGGCACGGGUAGAAGAUAAAUAACAAGAAGCUGGCACCCUGCUUUCCCUUCUUUAGAGGAAGCAGUGAUUGGCUAGUUGCAGAGAUGCAGGCCCCGUCACUGGUUGCCGCAUAAAGAGAGAGGAGUUGCUCGAUGCUGGUGCCUGCGCCCUCCUCUCUCUCCCAAUACUUCUUCCAAUUUUCGAUCCCGCCUCCUAUUUCAACUCCCAGAUUUCCAGUUUGCCUCCUAUUUCCCCUCCCAAAUUUCCGCCAACGCACCAUUUGCCCGCACAGGAGAGGCUCAUGCCCUUGCGUCCAAAUUGGACAUGGGGACACCCUACGACAUCCUGGACACCUAAAAGGGUUAAGGCGGACGCCUCACGUGGCCCUCUAAGGCAAGACCGAAGUUUUGCCACGCGAGGGCGCUCCGAGGCUUAGGUGACGCUUUAGGGACGCCUUUAAAACCAUUAUCACAGUUCUUCAUAGCCGUUAACUAUGGCCUCUAUUCUAGAGUUCCUUAGGGCAUCUCCAAGGGAACUCCCCAAAUCCUCUCCAUUUGUCCAAAUCUGUUCAUAGUGGGGUCCAUGAGCAAAAUACAUAACCCAAUGAGAACCCUCAUUUGUUCAAAAGUGGUCCACACCCUCAUUUCUUCUCCAAAUUUGAGGAGAGUAUGAGAGUCCCCAUCUGUGCAAAACUCAUCCAAACAUUGUCCAUUUGUCUUCUUGGUCCACAUGUGAUAGAUUCAUGAAAAAAUAAAUAGGAGGUUACCGUUGGACAACUUGAUAUUUUGCUCACUCCCAUUAGUUCAAAAACUCCUCAAAUGGACAAAUGGGAGAAUAAAUGGGGGCUCACCUUUGGAGAUGGCCUUAGUGUUUAGGACUUCGCCGCACAUAUUAAGUAACUACUUUCUCCGUUUCAAAAUAUUGUGACGGUCAAAAUUGUAAAAUUUGAUCAAGUUAUAUAUAAGAAAGGCAAUAAAUUUAAAGUUCGAAAUAGAUCUAUCUAAAUAUACUCAUUGGUGCUAACUUUGGUCAAAAAUUUAAAAAGUUUAAUCGUCAACAAAAAUUAAACGUUUUAUAUUUAAAGUGGAGAAAAUAUAAACUUAGCUGUGUACAGUUAAAUUUUAGAAAUUCAAGCAGCAUGGUUAAAUUUUAGAAAUUUCAGUUAUACUAUGUCCUUAUAAAUUCCGUAGUAAAUAUCUAGCGAACGCAUGUACCGUCGGCACGGAACAACAUGUGAGCCAUAAUACCAUUUGCUCUCCCGAGCGAGACAUGGCACGUUGAAGCAGCAUUUUCUUUUCUUGAGAGGGAGGCGCGUUGAAAUAGCAGGACGCAACGUGGCGAACUGUCGCUAAAAGUGCGUGAAACGGGAGAAGCCUACGGAAACGGAACGAAUCUGCCUUCCGCCUGACGCCACCGCGCUGUACUAUCUCCGCUGCAACGCUCGGAAAGACUCAAAUCAUCACCAUCAUUAGCACUAGUCUAGUCGGCACUGCCACCGAUUCCUGCCCAUCUUCCCCAGAACUCUCUACGCGAUCUCACCCACCGAUUCCCCCCCCACCUCCCAUAUCUCACCGCCUCGUUGCGCGAGAGCACAGGAGGAGAGGGAGCGAUGGUGGGGAACGACUGGAUCAACAGCUACCUGGAGGCCAUCCUCGACGCGGGCGGCGCCGCGGGGGACAUCUCGGCCGCAUCGGUGGCCGGAGGCGGCGAUGGGCCGGGCGCUGGAGGCGCCGACGGGGAGAAGCGGGACAAGUCGUCGCUCAUGCUCCGGGAGCGCGGCCGGUUCAACCCCGCGCGCUACUUCGUCGAGGAGGUCAUCUCCGGCUUCGACGAGACCGACCUCUACAAGACCUGGGUCCGCGUAAGCGUCGCCCACCACGCCCGCUCUUUCCGUUAAUUGCUCCUCGGGUUUUGGGCUUGUUUCUGGUGAUAUUUUGCGGCUGUUUUCGCCUUCAUGGUGGCUUAUGGACUUGUUUUGUUUAGACGUCGGCGAUGAGGAGUCCGCAGGAGAGGAAUACGCGGCUGGAGAACAUGUCGUGGAGGAUCUGGAACCUUGCCAGGAAGAAGAAGCAGGUAUGUAUGUGAUGCAUGUCCGGGUCGGUGAAAUAUAAAAGUUGUCAAAUGCUUGAUUUGCUUGUCUUACAUGCUUAGCACUCUGUUUUACCCACCAAGUUGUGCCGCAGUAACCUUUUGCACUAUAGUUAUGUAGUCUAAUUUAUUUAUACACCGUGUGUGUGUGACUGUUGGGGAGUUCACUGCUGUUGACAACUAGUGCUAGUUGUUGACUUGUGUGUAUGUGGGUUUAUGGUGGCUGGACGUCAUUUUAGCUUCUCACAUGCAGUGAAUACUUAAUAUACCAAUGCUGCCUAUGAAUUGGCUCUUCAAGUGGUGCCCAGAUUAUAAGGAUGACAAUAAUAGCAUACCAAGAGUUGCCAGUAAUUUUUCUUUUGGCCAAGCAUUGUUCUUGGCACACUCCUAUACUGUCCCUUGCUUAUGCUGUGACCGGAAUAGUCAAGACUGAUGCAACUUAUGAUGCUUAAACCAGUCAAACGUUAUGUGCAUGUAUAUUUUGUUUGACCUUUGUGGGUUUGAUCCCCUCUCAGUCUAAUAAGAAUGUUUUUUCCCACUUGGCUAUGCGUUCAAUGAAGUAACAGACUACUCUAGCAAGGCAAAAGUAUAUCUUACGAGUAGGCCUACAAAUAAUCGAGGGCUCUGUAUUUCAUAAAAUACCAUAUGAUUUGGGCCACCUGAUUAUAAUCUUCAUGUGUUGCCACUAUGGACUACUCCGUAUUUCGCUGCCUUUGUUUAUUCAUGCCCCCCUCCACUCUUGCCGACAAUGGAUGAUGGUCCAGUACCAAAUAAGUGCACCAAAUUAAUAUAGGCUCGAGUCCAAGUCCAAACAUGACUUCACAGCUUAGCAAGACAUGAUUACAAGAAGCUUUUGAUGCCUGCCAAGGAAGAAAGCUUUACUCUGACACCAUGUUAAGGCAUGUUGUUUUACCAUAGGGAUAAUAGGAUAGCAUACAUACACAUACAGGCGAGAGAAAUAGCCCUUAUUAGUGGGAAUAUUACACAUCUAACACAAACUACUACGCCUGUUUAGGGUGUAUUUUGGUUCAUUAAGACAAUGCUUUGAGUAUGUGAUACAAAAUCACAAGUGGUUACUUUUGAAUACGAAUCUAAUGACAUUGAUUUUGUGUCACAUAAAGUAUGUACUGGUAGUGUAAUUGUUUGUGAAAGCCUUGUCUCAACGAAUUGAAAUACACCCUAUAAUUUGAAAUGCAGAGUGAUUCUUGGUUUGGUCAAAAUAUCGACAAUAUCUUGUGCUGGUGUUCAUGUUCUUGUAGAAGAAAAAACAUAUUAAGAGAAGAUUUAGGGUUUUGUUUAUUCAGAUCUAUAAUUUGAUGAUCGGAUUCAGUAGCACACAUGCACAAGCAGUGCUCCUUUUGGUCAGGAGGGAGUUCUUUUAUUAGUGGUCACAGUGCACAAACCAUCUCCAUUGCAGAGCUAUAAAUUGACCAGACCUAUGUCUCAUGCCAUAUAUGAUUAAGGUUCUGCAUAUGAUACUAAUUGGAGGGAGAUUUUUUUGUUGAAGCUACUUCAAUUUUACCAAAGAAGAUAGUCGUAGUCUUGAAUACAAAAUGACUUUUAACACUUCUCAUUCCCCAAGUAUACAUGCCCAUGUUUUUUCCACCAACAUUUGAGUUGGUUCAUCAUGUUAUUUGAUUAUUUAAUACAGAUUGAAGGCGAGGAAGCCUCCCGUUCAUCAAAGAAACGUCUUGAGCGCGAGAAGGCUCGUCGAGAUGCUGCUGCUGAUUUGUCUGAAGACCUAUCUGAGGGAGAAAAGGGAGAAAACAUUCAUGAAUCAUCUAUUCACGAUGAGAGCACAAGGGGACGAAUGCCAAGGAUAGGUUCGACUGAUGCUAUUGAGGUGUGGGCAAAUCAGCACAAAGAUAAAAAACUGUAUAUAGUGCUGAUAAGGUAUGGUUCUAAGGGGUGUUUCUUUUUGAAUAAUCGAUAAACGAGUUACCAUUUGAUCAUAUUUAUAGUUUAAUAACAUUAGUCAAUUUAGAAGCUUCCAUGGAAGUUUGUCUACUAAUGCAUUUCUGUGCAAAUGGCAUUGGAUGGUAACACAAGUGUCAAUUCAUAGGUUCUAUUCUAUUCAAAUUGUUGGGGCACAUGUAGAUUGCAUGCUUAAAUAGCCAAUUAACCUAUGUUUGUUUUUCUGGUGCACAUUGUUUAGGAUGCCUCUGUUUUCACAUUUUUUUUAUUUUUAUGCAGCAUUCAUGGUCUUAUACGUGGUGAGAAUAUGGAGCUUGGGCGUGAUUCAGAUACAGGUGGUCAGGUACUUAAUUGCAUCUACCUAGUUUUCAUAUUUGCGUCCUUGAUAUCGUCUUCAUGCCUGUGCCCAAUUCUCACAACCUGGUGGGCUAUGCUUGUUGUUUGUCUGGUUAUAGUUGUUACGUAGUAUCAACAUAUUGGUCUAUAUAGAAUUGAUGUCUGAUUUGAACUAACUGGCUCCAUAACUUGCAGGUCAAAUAUGUUGUAGAGCUUGCUAGGGCAUUAGGUGAAACACCUGGAGUGUAUAGAGUGGAUCUGCUGACAAGGCAGAUUUCUGCACCUGAUGUUGAUUGGAGUUAUGGGGAACCUACAGAGAUGCUGAGUCCAAGAAAUUCUGAGAACCUUGGAGAUGACAUGGGUGAAAGUAGUGGUGCUUAUAUUGUCAGGAUACCAUUUGGACCAAGAGAUAAGUAUAUCCCUAAAGAGCAUCUCUGGCCCCACAUCCAGGAAUUUGUUGAUGGUGCGCUUGUCCAUAUCAUGCAGAUGUCGAAGGUUCUUGGAGAACAAGUUGGUAGUGGACAACCAGUAUGGCCAGUCGUUAUCCAUGGGCACUAUGCGGAUGCUGGCGAUUCUGCUGCUUUACUAUCUGGGGCACUCAAUGUCCCGAUGGUAUUUACAGGACAUUCUCUUGGCAGAGACAAAUUAGAGCAACUUUUGAAACAAGGGCGUCAAACAAGGGACGAAGUGGAUGCAACAUACAAAAUAAUGCGUCGGAUUGAGGCUGAGGAACUAUGUCUUGAUGCAUCUGAAAUUAUAAUCACAAGCACUAGGCAAGAGAUAGAAAAACAAUGGGGAUUGUAUAACGGUUUUGAUUUAACUAUGGCAAAGAAGCUUAGAGCAAGAAUGAAGCGCGGUGUGAGCUGCUAUGGUCGAUACAUGCCUCGUAUGAUUGUAAGUUCAUCUGCAGCAACCCCUUUCUGUUCGAAUGCAUUUCAUUCUUUCAAUAUUUCUUUGUGCUUACUGUUGUAUGAUAUUAUCAGGCAAUUCCUCCAGGAAUGGAGUUUGGACAUAUAGUGCCCCAUGAUGUUGAUCUGGAUGGUGAAGAAGGCAAUGAAAUUGGAUCAGGUUCACCGGAUCCACCUAUUUGGACUGAUGUAUGUUCUUUCCAUUCUAUUUCCCAUAAGAUAGUUCAAUAAAUUGCCGAUAUGACACUCACAUGUUAUGUUUACUUACAAUUUCUGUCUGAAAUAAUUUCAGAUAAUGCGCUUCUUCUCAAACCCUCGAAAGCCCAUGAUUCUCGCUCUUGCUCGUCCAGAUCCCAAGAAGAAUAUCACUACACUUGUGAAGGCAUUUGGUGAACACCAUGAAUUGAGAAAUUUAGCUAACCUUGUACGUUUGCCAGUCCUAUGUGGUAUCUCUAGUUGCUUUGAUCUUAUUUUGCUUUUUUAUCUGUUUUUUAGUUUCUUAUGAUCACAGAAUAUCACAGCUGUGCUCAGCAUUGAGAACUAUCAUUAUUCUGCAGACACUGAUUAUGGGUAACCGUGAUGUUAUUGAUGAAAUGUCAAGCACAAAUGGAGCUGUUUUGACAUCAGUACUCAAGUUGAUUGACAAAUACGAUCUAUAUGGUCAAGUGGCAUACCCCAAGCACCAUAAGCAAUCUGAUGUCCCAGAUAUUUACCGUUUGGCAGCAAGAACCAAGGUAACCGAGUCUUAUAUCUUCAUAUUUUGAAAUAUGUGAAAAUAGAGUUCUGCAAUAAGCAUGCUACCGAAUUCUCUGUGGUACCAUGAUUAAUCGUUAAUUGGAUGUUAUAGAUUAAGUGGUAAUUAAGUUUUAACCUGUCUGUAUUUAUUAGUUUUUGGAAAAGGAAGAGUUGUUUUUCCUUGGGCCUCUGCGUAUGAAAUGCACACAGUUUACGCAGUCAGGAGCCAAUCAGCAUCACAUAAGUGAAAUGAGUACGUAAAAGCUGACAGUGUUAUCUCAGGCAUUACAUGGUCUGGAGAAAGUACCCGGUGGAUACCAUCUUACAGUAAAAACUCCGAAUGGAAACAUGUUUAAAGUUUUCACAAAUUAAGAAAAAAAAUGUAUGUUAGGAGAGUGGUUUUAGAUGCAAAAUUUCAAGUUCAAACUCAUUCAUUUCAGGGGUAUGUAAAAGACAAGUUCAGCAAUAAAUAGUAGCAUCUCUGUUUGGUACUAUUCAUGGUUAAAUUUGUUUUUUCAUACUUUCCAAAUGAAUUUGAGUUUGAGAACUUGAAAUUUUAUAUGUUAUUAUGGAACUCCUCUCCCCCAACAUAUUGUAUUUUUUAAAAACUUAACAUGUUUCUUGUGUGGGUCUUCACCAGUUUCCACCUGUAAGGUGGUUUCCAUUGGAUAUUUUCUCCAUAGUCUAAUGUGCGAUCGCUGGCCAUGUUGGGACAUAAAUCCCCUGUCUACUGACUCCAGCUUGUCGCCACCAACCACCAGAGACCCCCAUGCCUCCCAUCGUUGUAGCGAAGACUAUGUUGGCAUCUUUACUUGUUUUUCUCCUCUCUUUUUUGCUUAAGUUCUGACUUUCAGCAACAAACGGACAUGCUUUUUGUUUGUGCCUUACUCACAUUUCCAUACUAAAAACAUGCUCAUCUGAGUUCCUAUUAUUUUCAGGGGGUGUUUAUUAACCCAGCUUAUAUUGAACCAUUUGGACUCACCUUGAUCGAGGUUCUUACUUCUGCAACAUUUCCUUUGGCUGUUAGUUACUUUAUGUGUUGAUUAACAAUGUUUAUGCAAUCUUUGCACCUUGUUGCCUCUCAGGCUGCUGCUUAUGGUCUACCGAUGGUUGCUACACAAAAUGGUGGACCUGUAGACAUACAUCGGGUACUGCUGUGCUAUCUUGGUUUAUCUUUUGCACUGAUUUUUUUUUCCUUUGCUUAUUGAUGUCAUAUAUUUUAAUGUUCUUUUGGUUUCAUUUCUUCAUUCAGGUUCUUGACAAUGGUAUUCUUGUUGAUCCCCACAAUCAAAAUGAUAUAGCUGAGGCACUUUAUAAGCUUGUUUCUGAUAAGCAUUUGUGGGCAAAAUGCCGUGAGAAUGGUCUGCAAAAUAUCCAUAGAUUUUCUUGGCCAGAACAUUGCAAGAACUAUUUGUCACGGGUUGGUACACUUAAGCCUAGACACCCAAGAUGGCAAAGGAGUGAUGAUGCUACUGAAAUUUCUGAAGCAGAUUCACCUGGCGACUCUUUGAGGGAUCUUCAUGAUAUAUCUCUUAACUUGAAGAUUUCCUUAGACAGUGAAAAAUCAAGCACCAAGAGAAACCUUGAGGAUGCUCUACUAAAAUUUUCAAAAGGUGUUAGUGCCAGCACAAAGGAUGAGUCUGGUGAGAAUGCUGAGGCUACCACAGGUUCCAAUAAAUGGCCAUCUCUGCGAAGGAGAAAACACAUUGUUGUGAUAGCUGUAGAUUCUGUGCAAGAUGCAGACUUAGUUCAGAUUAUAAAAAACAUUUUUGAGGCUUCAAGCAAAGAAAGACUGUCCGGUGAUGUUGGUUUUGUAUUGUCAACAUCUCGAGCCGUAUCAGAGAUACAUCCUUUGUUAACAUCUGGGGGCAUAGAAACUACUGAUUUUGAUGCCUUCAUAUGCAGCAGUGGCAGUGAUCUUUGCUAUCCGUCUGCAAGUUCUGAAGACAUGCUUAGCCCUUCCGAGCUUCCAUUUAUGAUUGAUCUUGAUUAUCACUCUCAAAUUGAAUAUCGCUGGGGAGGAGAAGGUUUAAGGAAGACACUAAUUCGUUGGGCAGCAGAAAAGAACAGUGAGAGUGGACAAAAAGUCGUCGUUGAAGAUGAAGAAUGUUCGUCAACUUACUGCAUUUCAUUUAAAGUGAAGAAUUCUGAGGCUGUAUGUUUCUUCUUCAUCCUUCUAUGCCCUCUUCAUUUAUGUUUUCAAUGAUUGUCUUUACAUUCUGUACACUCGUUGGUGUUUUAUUAUGUUGCAACUGUUUUAGGUCCCUCCGGUGAAAGACCUUAGAAAGACAAUGAGAAUUCAAGCUCUACGCUGUCAUGUUUUGUACAGCCAUGAUGGUAGCAAAUUGAAUCUUAUUCCUGUCCUAGCAUCACGAUCACAAGCACUAAGGUUUGACUACUCCUAUAACUGUUCUCUUUUUCAUGGGCAGAGCCUUCAAACCUCUAGUCUCGAGUAAAAUGUUAUACUGUUACUCUCUCUGCUGCCACUAACGGUUGCCAUUCUAGAAUGCUUGUAAUUGACCAUCAUUUGUAGGAAGUAUUUUUGUUUUUGUUUUUGCAAGGUAACAAAAUACUGAGUAUAUAGAUUGAAUGGACUCCUAUUUUGUACUUCGAGGAGUAUGUACUCCCAUCUUUUGACACUGAUUCAUGAUAUUCCCUCCGUCCCAUAUUAAGUGACUCAAAUUUGUCUAAAUAUGGACGUAUCUAUAUACUAAAAUACGUCUAGAUACAUGUAAUAUUCCGGCACUUAAUAUGGGACGGAGGGAGUACAUCUUUCAUUUUCAGUAUACUUCAAUAAUGAUUAAAAGAUGUACUAAUUGCAAGAAAAAAUACCAUUGGAACCCUUGGUUAUGUACAUAAAAAAGCAGUAUAUAUGAAAAUUAAGUUAAACAUAUGUACUGAAAUAAGAAGUUUCAUGGGAGUCACUUUGGAGUGUCUAGUUAUUACUAUUCGAGUAUAUUCAAAGUGAUAAAGGAGUGUGACACAUCUCAUAAUUACUUUUUUCAUUUUGGUACUACAUCAUUAUAAAACUUCCAUAGAUUUAUUUUUAUUUAUAACAGAAUGUUGGUAGCUUAUCAUAGAGAAUAGCAAUCAGAAUAGCACAUUGGUGUGCGUUGAUGUCUCAGAUGACCUAUAUGUCACUCCUAUACUAGAGUACAGCUUGAUUGUUGAAAUGAUGUUAAUUUUUUCCACGAGGCCAACUUUUCUUGCAUGAUGUCCAAAAUUAUUUCCAGUUUUGUCUGCAUGGCCAGAGAAAUUGCCAAUUUGCAACAUCAAUUCACGAGUUAAUUUUUCUGAUAAUGUUUCAUCUUUAUCCAGGUACUUGUAUAUAAGAUGGGGGGUGGAACUGUCAAACAUGACAGUGGUUGUUGGUGAAAGUGGUGAUACAGAUUAUGAUGGACUACUUGGAGGCGUACACAAGACCAUCAUACUGAAAGGCUCAUUUAAUGCUGCUCCAAACCAACUUCAUGCGGCCAGAGGCUAUUCAUUAGAGGAUGUUGUAUCGUUUGAUAAACCAGGAAUUUCUUCAGUUGAGGGAUAUCUCCCAGAUGACCUAAAAUCAGCUCUACAACAAUUUGGUGUACUGAAAGACUAAAAUAUUAAACUUGCCAGUCCACGGCAGAGUUAAGUUAGGUAUGUUCAGACACACUUCAUUCAUAUUGAACACUGUCUUGACUCUUGACUGAACUGAAUGCCAUAUGAAUAUUCAAACUGCAUGGUUAGAGAUAUGCAUAUCAAAAGUAAGGGUGUUUUUUUGGCUUUUCAGUUUCAUUUAUUAUUGUGUUAUAUUGGAAACUAAUUAAUUAUAAUUCAGGAACAGAAUAUCAUUGAUCCAACUAUUUUUUCUUUCUUUUUUUGUAAUCUUGUUUCCUUGUGUUUAUAUAUACUUAUAUACCAUAAAUGGAAUGCUUAAUUCCUCAUGUAAAAGGAUUAAAUGCUUUAAUUUACUAAUACAUGCAUAAAAGCAAAUGCGUCCACUGAGAAAACUAAGCUGUACUGGAUAUAUCCAUCAUUUUACAUAAAAAUACUGUACAUGCAAUAUUUUUGCCUUUUCACCGGACUAUUCACCUUUACACAGUUUAGUCAUGUAAAAAAACCCUCUCUUGUGGAAUGUAGUAAUAUAAGAAAUUCCACAAAAUUGCAAGAACAUGCACUCUGCAUUAGAACCGUUUGCCUUUUCAUGCAUAAAGAUUUUCUAUUUGUGCUAUUUAUUUAUUUAUUCACAUAAAAUUGUCCAUGUAAAAUCUGAGUUGUACAUGUAGCCCAAAAUUCUUAAGGAUUGUUUUCUGUUUUAUAGAUGAAAUUCUACAAUGAUCAAUAUAUGUCUAUAUGAGCUCAUCAAUUUCAUGUGUUUGUAAUGUGUUUAAUUUAAGUAUAUACAGUAGCCGUUCUUAACAGGUGUGCAUAAUUAUAUCCUUUUUCACCUCAACAAUAUUCAAAGCUAAAACACAUACAAAUAAGAAACUAGUCGGUGAAAAUUGCUCCGCAGCAUUAUCAUCUAAGCAGGCCCGGUUUUGUCCCAGUUAUUUGGUCUUCCAUAACUCUUUUCUGAAAUGUGCUGUGGAUUGUAUAUUUAUUUAUUUUAAGAAAGUAGUAUUUCAAUGAUUUCUUAUUAUUAUAUUCUAAUAUAUAAUAUUUAUUCAUCCAUUCUACGUGAUCCAGAUGGAGUCGAGUGCGGCCCGCUGUGUACAACUUCUCAAAUGGUGGGAAAUAAGAGGUUUGCCUUCUGCAGCUGAAGAAUGAGAGGCAAGCGAACAAACUUGAGGCAUUUUUUUGUCCAAUUCUGUAAUUACAUCGCAAUAAGAUGUAUACAGACAUGCAUCACGUGCCGGAACAUUCUUAUGAAGCUUUAUGGAAAUCGUGAUUUCACCCGAUCAUGCAUGCUAUGUAAUUCCUCGCAAAAAGGAUAGUGACGAGAAAAUAUAAAUUGAAUGCUCGGCGACGCUUUGCCCUGCCCCGAAUGUUUUUCCCGUCUUAAUAGAUAGCCCACCGGCCACUGGGCACUGGGGCGUUGGCAGAGCUGCAAGUUUGUGACCCUCAUGUACCUUUGAUCCUCCUUAGUUCAACUAAAUGAACUAGUUUUCAAAUGUUGUGUCAUCUUAAAAUUUUAGUUCAUUUGAAAUGUUGUGUCAUCUUAAAAUUUUAGUUCAUUUGGUUGAACUAAAAAGAGUCAGGUACACUGAGGGUCAAGAACUUGACAGCUAUAGGCGUUGGCAACAUUGUGCGUGCACUGUUUAUAAAAUGCACGAUUUCAUAGGUUGAAGCUAUCAAUCGUACAUGUGCGCAGAUAUUCUGCAUCUGAUUUUCAUAUGCCAACACAUCAAUAUUGUUGUGAACCGCGCUUCCAUCCGAGCAGCCAUUAGCAGUUAGGAUUAGCAUUUUGUAUAUCAAGUGUCAGCGGUUAGGAUUAUACAAAACUUUGAGACACAACUGUUCGUAAAGGUGUCUUGACAAUUGUAACGAUGCCUUGGUAAUAUGUACAUACUAAACACAAAGUUUCAUUUUUAAUAAAAAUACGUUAUCAAGCACUUAGAGAGCACAGGAAGAGCGCAUGAAGAGAAGAAGAAAAGGCAGGAAUGACGGCACAUCUUGCUGAACUCGUUCAAGCCUUCCGUAAGGUUCAUACUCAGGAAGCCCGUCGCCACCACUGCGUCUCCAACAUUCGUCGCCGGGGAGUUGCUGUAGCUGUCCGUCGCCGUCGAGGAGUUGCUGUUCCUGUCCGUCGCCGUCGACUUCAUGCUGCUGUUCGUCGCCGUCGACUUGCUGGUCCCAGUGUUGGCCUCCGUCAGCGCCGGGCUCGUCAUCAAAUCAAGGAACUGCAAGAAGAGCCACGCCCGCAGCACCGCCAUUUGAAUGGCUUGUAGCCGACCCGAGCGCUGGCUGGUUGGCAGAAGAAGGGGAACGCCGAGCGACGCCUCUGCGUCCGGUCCUCAUCGACGACGAACUAGCGCCGCCACCACUCCCACUAACGCCUCCUCGUCUGCCGACACCAACACCGACCCCAGAACUUGAUGCACCGCCGGGAUAUGGUACAGUGGAGGUGCCGGCACCAGAACCAACCCCAACACCGACGCCAGAAGCCCGACGCCUCCUGCGCCGGUUCGCCUCAGCGAUGGCAGCGCGCCGCCCCGAUCUGCACGUGGGCGGGUGGAACCCAGGCGCACUCGGCUUCAACGCCGGGAACUCCUCCGCGGCGCCCUCCUCUGAUGCGGGAGGGUCAGCCACCCCUUGAAGAAAGCAAUGGCGCGGUACAGUCCCGGUGGAGAAGACCAGAGAAGACAGUGUGGCGGCGGCAGCAGGAAAAACCUAUUCGACGAGUCGCACAAAGCCUCGUUAUUCCGUCUGAUCGAUCUCCUCUCCAUGGGAUUGAUGGGCCUGCCUACAGGCCAACUGCUCCUGCACCUCAAGAAACGGCGAUUUGCAUUUUAACCACUAUAGUUUUGGACAUUUGCCAAUCAGCCCUAUAGUUUAACUAUUAAAUAAUGACUAUUGUGUAUUUAUUCAUCCUAGUCUGACAUUGUUCAUAAUUACGUACUGUACUCUAAUGUAUUGUAGGUUUGUAUGAUAGACCAUAUUACAUCUAAGUAUUAUGUUUUAAGUAUUGUAAUAUAUGAAUGAAUACACAUACAUUGUGUAGAUUUGUCGUUUUAGUACAACAACUAUCAUUUGCAUUCAGAAUUACGUUCCCUUGCAAAUUCUCACCAAUUAAGUGAACACAAUUCCACUAAAAUUUGACUACCCAUGUCUAUAUUUUGGAUCACAAGGUGAUAAUUUUUAUAUCACUGUGAGGUCUAUAUUAUACCAUAUUGGAAUAAUGACUACCUUCAAUGUACUCUCCUUAAUAUUUUAAAUAAGCAUAUGCACAAGGUAGUAUUUUUAGCGAAUUUUUCACGUACUACUGUGAGAUCUACACCAAAUCGGUGAUUAUCUUCAACGUGUUAGCUUAUAACUUGAGGUCUACACAAGUGGUUUAAAAUGCAUCAGCAUCGAUUAAAGUGCUAUAUCUUAGCAUACUUGUUGUUACUAAAUUCGAUUAUUUUACAAGUGAAAUUAAUUUAUGCAUGAUCAUACAUGCAGGACAUGGUUGACAUCAACAAAAAAAGAUUUCCAUGAACUCCAAGUUGAUGGUAGUAACUAUCUAUCAUGGGCUAUGGAUAUUAGAAUCAACUUAAUAGGACGUAAACUUGGUGCAACUAUAAUUACACCACCAACAAAUGCUGAACCAAUCCCAGAAAUUAACAAAUAUGCAGCACUUCAUUAUAUACAGCACCACCUCCAUCCAGAUUUAAAAGUUGAAUAUUUGAUGGAGGAGGACCCGCUGGCUCUGUGGAACUCUCUUAAAGAGAGGUAUGACCAACAAAAGGCUAUUAUGCUCCCAGAAGCCCAAAGAGAAUGGUCUCUUAUUAGAUUCCAAGAUUUCAAAUCUGUCGCUGCAUAUAACUCUGCUGUCCAUAGGAUUAACUCAAAACUGAGAUUUUGCAAUCAAGCUGUCUCGGAGGAUGAAUUAAUUGAGAAAACCUUAUGUACGUUCCACCCAUCCAUGAGGAUAUUGCAACAGCAAUACAGACAACAAAAAUACGAAAAGUAUUCCGAGUUGAUAUACACUUUACUUCAAGCCGAGAAGCAUGAUGAAUUACUAAUGAAAAAUCAUCAAACUUGUCCAACGGGCGCAAUGCCUCUCCCUGAAGCACAUGCUAGUACUCAUAUCAACAAUAAAUUUCGAGGUAUCAAGAAAAACAUCGGAAAAUUUAAAGGAAAGUGGAAGCGCAAUGACGAGCAGAAAAUGAAUGGUCAUUUCAAAGGUAAAGGUCGUAUCAAGAAAAACGAUCAAAAUGACAAUUCUCAAAUUUGUCAAAGGUGUGGAUGUACGAAUCAUCGUACAAAUAUAUGUCGUACUCCCAAGCACUUGGCUGACCUAUACCUCAAAUCUACUGGGAAAGGGAAGUAUGUUCAUGGACAUAAGGCCGAAGCUCACUUCAACGCCAUGCAAGAAGACAACCUCGAAGUCAAUCCUUCUCAAAGCGAUACUCAGGAAAACCAACUAGAGGACACCAAUCUCCUUGCUGAAGAUGACAUGCUUGUUGAAUUCACACAAGAUGCAUAUGGGGACCUCAAUUAAUGUUCCUAUAUAUAACGUAUGUUCAAGCUAAUUAUUAUACUACUAGACGUUAUAUGUAUUGUAUGACAUUAAGUAGAAUAAAGUCCGUCAGACUCGAUUGUAUUAUGUAAUUCAGACAUAAUAUUGUAUUGUGUGAUUCAGACAUAAUAUGUAAUACGUUAUGUAAUUCAGACAUAAUAUUAUAAUAUCAAUACUUCGUAUGCAAUUUCAUUGAGUAAUAUGAAUAAGUUUUAUUCUAAAUAUUCUUUUACUCUUAUAGAACUAUACGGGAAAGAAUCUGAUGGAGGAAGAACUAUGUUUAGUGGAUAGUUGUAUCACUAAUACAAUAUUAAGGGAUACAAAAUAUUUCCAAACCCUUACCAAAAGGAAAGGAAAUGUUAUGACCAUUACUGAACAUGACAAAUCAAUUAUAGGUUCAGGAAGAGCCACAAUCGUACUCCCUAUGGGUACUACUAUAAUAAUUGAGGAUGCACUCAUGUAUCCCGAAUCAACAAGUACCCUUCUUAGUUUCAAAGAUAUCCGUUCCAACAAUUUCCAUUUGGAAACAACAAAGGAGGACAAUACUGAAUAUUUCUGUUUAACAAAAAACAAUGGAUCUGAGAAACAAAUUCUUGAAAAUUUUCCCUCACUAUCAUCAGGAUUAUAUUAUACAUAUAUUAAACCCGUACAACAUGUUGCAUAUAAAAUAAUUUUUCAAAAUCUUGACAAAUACAAGACAUGACAUGAUUGCCUUGGUCAUCCUGGUAUAGGGAUGAUGAGAAAAUUUAUAGACAAUUAUGUAGGUCAUAAUUUACCAAAUAAAUCUUUUCCCAAAUCAUCAGAUUUUGUAUGCAGUGCAUGUGCAACAGGCAAAUUAAUUUUGAAACCAUCUCAUCUUAAAAUAAAAAAUGAGUCACUCAAUUUCCUUGAACGAAUUCAAGGAGAUAUAUGUGGUCCAAUACAACCUAUAUCAGGACCAUUUAGGUACUUCAUGGUACUUAUAGAUGCAUCUACCAGAUGGUCACAUGUGUGUUUACUAUCCACACGCAACCAUGCUUUUGCAAAACUUAUUGCUCAGAUUAUCAAAUUAAGAGCGAACCACCUUGAACACAGGAUCAAAACAUUUAGAAUGGACAAUGCCGCUGAAUUUUCUUCACGAGCAUUUAACGAUUAUUGCAUGGCUCUAGGUAUCAAUCUAGAACAUUCAGUACCAUAUGUUCAUACUCAAAAUGGACUUGCUGAAUCCUUAAUUAAAAGAGUGAAAUUAAUUUCCAGACCAUUAUUACAGAAUUGCAAUCCACCAACGUCAUGUUGGGGACAUGCAGUUUUACACGCCGCUGAUCUAAUUCAAAUUAGACCAUCUGCAUAUCAUUCAACUUCCCCGCUUCAACUAGUACGUGGCAAUCAGCCAAGUAUUUUCCAUCUGCGAAAAUUCGGUUGCGCUGUAUACAUACCGAUAUCACCACCGCAGCGUACAUCUAUGGGCUCCCAUAGAAUAUUAGGGAUCUAUGUGGGAUAUAAUUCUCCGUCAAUUAUCAAAUAUUUAGAACCCCUAACAGGGGACCUGUUUAUGGCUCGGUACGCUGAUUCAAUUUUUAAUGAGGACAAUUUCCCGGCAUUAGGGGGAGAAUCAAACCACAAAGAAUGCCAAGAAAUAGAUUGGAAUGUUACAGGCAUUCAGUCCUUAGAUCCACGUACUAAAGAAUCUGAAUCAGAAGUUCAGAGGAUUAGAAAUUUGCAACACAUUGCAAACAGUCUGCCAGACGCAUUUACUGAUCAUAAAGGUGUCACUAAAUCACAUAUUCCUACAGUUAAUGCACCAGAACGAGUGGAGGUACCAAUUAAAACCACUCAUCUCCCAAAUGCAAAUAAAAGGGGGAGAAAUCUGGAAACAAAGGAUAAUAAGACUUCUCAGAAGCCUCCGCGAAAACAAAGAAAAUCAACAGUAAAUGCAAAUCAACCUGAAGUUGAUAGACACCAACCAGAUGUUCAACAUCAAAACCCCAACAUAAAUGUGCACACAAAUCUAAAUGUUGGGACAUCCAAACACCCAGAUUCCAUUGUUGAGGGAAAUCACAUGGAACCUGAGGCCAUUAAAGAAAUAUCCACAAAUUAUAUUGAUUCGGGAGAAUCAUACAAUAGAAAGACUACGCUUGUCGACAUAUAUUUCUCCUCGAAAAUAGCUAAAACCCUUCAACUGGAUCCAGAGCCUAAAUCUAUGAAAGAGUGCCUCAAGCGCUCAGAUUGGCCUAAAUGGAAGGAAGCUAUAGAGGCAGAAUUGCACUCGCUUAACAAAAGAAAGGUAUUUUCAUCAGUAAUGACUACUCCUCAAAAGGUCUUCCCUGUGGGAGAAAAAUGUGUUUUUGUUCGAAAAAGAAACGAAAACAAUGAGGUGGUGAGAUAUAAAGCGAGGCUUGUAGCACAAGGGUUUACGCAGAGACCUGGCAUCGAUUACGAUGAUACAUACUCUCCUGUUAUGAGUGGAAUAACGUUUCGAUAUUUAAUAUCAUUGGCAGUACAAAUGAAUUUAUCAAUGCAGUUAAUGGAUGUAGUGACCGCAUACUUAUAUGGGUCACUUGAUGCGGAUAUUUGUAUGAAAGUUCUUGAUGGACUUAAAAUUCCGAAUCCAAAAAUAGAUCGCAACAUGUAUUGUGUAAAAUUACAAAAGUCACUCUAUGGCUUAAAACAGUCGGGGAAAAUAUGGUAUAACCGACUAAGUGAGUUCCUUAUUCAGAAAGGUUACUCAAAUAAUGAUGAUUCUCCGUGCGUAUUUAUAAAGAAAUCUUCAAAAGGUUUUUGUAUCAUCUCAGUGUACGUUGAUGACCUCAACAUCAUUGGAAGUACAUUAGAUAUAAAUGAAGCACGUAAUCAUUUAAUGACGGAAUUUGAGAUGAAAGAUUUGGGUAGAACCAAAUUUUGCUUAGAUUUACAACUUGAACACCUUCCCUCAGGAAUUCUUGUUUAUCAACCUGCCUAUAUCCAGAAAGUUUUGGAAAAAUUCAACAUGGAUAAAUCAUAUCCAUCCAAAACACCCCCAUGGUCGUUAGAUCUCUCGAUAUGAAUUAAGAUCCUUUUAGACCUAGGGAUGAAAAUGAAGAGAUAUUAGGACCCGAGUUCCCAUAUCUUAGUGCUGUUGGUGCAUUAGUGUAUCUCGCAAAUUGUACUAGACAUGACAUCGCAUUUGCGGUACAUUUACUUGCUAGACAUAGUGCAGCUCCAACUAAACACCAUUGGGCGGGAAUAAAGAAUGUCUUCAGAUAUUUACAUGGCACAAAAGAUCUUGGUUUGUUCUAUCAGAAAAAUCAAGACAUGACUAUGGUUGGUUAUACGGAUGCUGGCUAUCUAUCUGAUCCUCACAAUGCCAGAUCACAAACAGGUUUUGUAUUUUUAUAUGGUGGAACUGCGUUCUCAUGGAAGUCAACAAAACAGACUUUGGUAGCAACUUCCACUAAUCAUUUUGAAAUAAUCGCUUUAUACGAAGCUUCACGAGAAUUUGUAUGGCUUCGCAUAAUGAUAAAUCAUAUUCAAACAUCAUGUGAUAUUGGUUCAUUAGAAUCAGCAACCAUUAUCUAUGAAGAUAAUGCUGCAUGCAUUGCUCAAAUGCAUAUGGGUUAUAUAAAAAGUAAUAUCACAAAACAUAUUGCUCCUAAAUUGUUCUUCCCUCAUGAAUUACAAAAAAGUGGAGAAAUUGAUAUUUUGCAAACCAAAUCAUGUGACAAUCUAGCAGAUUUGUUCACUAAGUCUUUACCAACAUCUACAUUCGAAAAAUGUAUUCAUGGAAUUGGUAUGAGACGACUUAGAAAUUUGCAAAGUUCAGGGGGAGAAAGUCUUCUGAACUAAUAACCCAUUAAUUACCAUUAGAUAAUUAAUAUUGUACUCUUUUCCUUUACGAGUUUUUCAAAAUCGAUUUCUCAUAUAGGUUUUUAAUGAGGCAAUAUCAAUAUACCAUAUCGUUUUCUCCUUAUAUUUCCCCAUAGGGUUUUAAAGGAGUUUUCCAUGGUAUAUCAUUGUUUUCUAUAUUUCUCCUUAUUUUUUCCACAGGGUUUUUCAAAGGAGUUUUUCCAAGAUUAUUAUUACCCAAACUAUACGCGGAAUUAUUAAGACAAUGUCUAACUCAAGAUUUGACGUUUGUAAAAGGGGAAGUGUUGUGAACCGCUGCUUCCAUCCGAGUAGCCAUUGACAGUUAGGAUUAGCAUUUUGUAUUAGUGAUUAAUUAAUCAAGUGUUAACGGUUAGGAUUGUACAAAACUUUGGGACACAACUGUUCGUAAAGGUGUAUUCACAAUGUAACGAUGCCUUGGCAUCCCCUCGUAGGGUAUAUAUACAUAUCCUCUGGUAAUAAUAAACACACAAUUUCAUUUCUAAUCAAAACAAAUAUAUCACCAGUUUAACAGAAGCGAAACACCUCCGGAUCAAUUAUUUCGACGCGCCCCUCACAUACAUCAACUGAUACAUCUAGCUAGAAUCUACCAAUUCUUAGCUCCGGAGUCCGGACACCAAACUAAAUCUUCAAGCCUAACCGAAACGUAAUCCAUAACUGCAUACCGACUGAGAGAGCGCGCGAGAGAGUGACGCACAUUACUACACAUCGUGCUAAACUUGGCUUAAUUGACGACACGGCAGUUGCGGCGGACCUCGCCAGCGGCGCGUCCGCCAGCCGGGGCCAGCCUCCCCAUCCGCAGCAUGGAAGCCGCGAAGUCGUCGAAGAAGAGAGCCGCGUCGAAGGCGUAAUCUGCCACGAGGCCCGCGACGAGCGUGCCGGCAUCCUGAUCACCGUCAUCGUCGCCCGCGGGCGCGGCGGCCAGCGCCUGGUCGGAUGGCAGCAGGCCGUCCCCGGAGAGCAGGUUGAUGUAGUACUGGUUGUCGAACGUUGCCGGCGUGGCCAGGUCCAGGUGCGCCAGCGCCGACCCCGCCGACCCCGCGCACAGCUGCUGCAGCGACUGCACGAACCCCGCGUCCUUGGCCGUGCCCGCGACCCCCAUCCCGCCACCGAUGCGCGCGCUGAAUGUCGUGCACCGCGCUUUCCCGAUGGUGUGCGCGCCGGAGAGGGCCACCAUGUCUUUUGCGGAGAGGCCGACGUUGGCGAACUUCUGCACGAGCGUGGCGACGCCGGAUGUCGGCGCCGGGAGGUUGCUGUUGGCCGCCUGCAGGCUCGCCGUGCGGCUGUCCUUCCUGCCCACCUCCACCUGCCAGCUCGGCCCGCCAGACUGCACGCUUUCAGUUAGAAUGUGACAUCGAAUUGUUGUUGUUCAUGCGAAGAAUUAAUGCGUGUGGAGGAAGGACUAAGGAAAACUUACGGCGACGACGGAGUCCCGGGCGGCGAUGGCGAGCACGUCGGCGCAGGAGACGGUGUCCGGGCACGCCAGCUCCAGCUGGGCCUUGAUGGCGUCGAUCACCUCGAACCCCCUCAGCGAGUUGGCGUUGGGCCCUGCCGUCUUCUCGCCCACCAAGAACGGCUUGUCGUCCAGGAGCACGGACCCGUCGCAACCCUGACCCAAAAAAGAGAGCAAAAUUACUCGCGAAGUCAUAAUGGCGCACUGCAUUAUUCCCGAGCGCAUUGUAGUUCCUUCAUGCACGUACAUUGACGAAGCAGUCGUGGAAGUGGAGGCGGAGGAGGGAAGCGGCCAUGCGGGGGUCGGCGGCGACGGCCUUCUCGACGGCCUCGCGGAUGAUCUCCUCGGCCAGGGGGCACACGGAGCGGUACGCGUCGCCGCCCAGGGACACGCCGGCGCCGGCGCCGGCGCUGGCCCUGGCGCCGCCGUACCCGAUGCUCACGGACGCGCCGCCUGCGCCGGCCACGCACGACUUGUUCACCGCGGUCGCCUCGGCUGCUGCUGCAAGCUGCAGCAGCAGGAAGAAGGCUACCAGCGCCAUGGCUAACGCCACCUCCAUGGCAGUGCACGCAGAAAGGAAGGAAUCAAGGACAAUGAGUGUUGUCGCAGCUGCUGCGUGCUGCUGUGUUUGGUCGAUCGUCCGGGUGAUGAUUUCAGUGUUCAGUGUGUGUGUGUGCGCGCCAGUGGCUGGUGAUCGUGAUGGGGAAUAUGCAUGGUCGGUCGCCCUUUAUAUGGACGAAUAUGCAUGAUAGACCCAAACCCAACGAGGGAGCUGGCUAGAGAGCGAGAAAUUAGGUAAGCUAGGGUGGCAGGCCUUUUGCGUGACGGUCAAAUCAUUGGCCCUUGGUGUACACAACACUGAUCAAUCUGAGUUGUACAAGGAUCGAUCAAUCGUCGCUGUACCGCGGCUUGUUCUUGGAAUAUGAUCUGAUCAGAUUCUCCCAUAGCUGUCGGCGAAGGUACUCUGAGAUCAAACGCUAGAAGCACGCAUUACGUAGUGGCUGUAAAAAUCGCCUGAGACCUGGUCUCUGCCGCACGAAAUGGGUCGAUUUCGACAAAACAAACCUCGAGACAAAACUAUUUCAUAAAAUGAACUCGUCGCGAAAUUAUUUUGCAAAUCUAACCCUUUCGCAUAGUGCCCAACAGUUAGACGUUAAGCUCUGUAGCAUACCACCUCUCCCUAAGGCGCUAUGCGCCUACCAGCGUGGCCAGCUCGGACCCCACCUGCGACCUUGCAGGGUCUCAAAUUUUGCCAAGUCCUAGCAUAACUCCUCAGAGUUGGACGCUGUACCAGCUACCUUCGUGCCCAACGAAAAGGCGAUGUGCCCUCACUAUCUGCUGAUUUCACUGUCCCACGCAGGCAUGCAUGCAGCGACAGGCGAUCGAAAUGGAAUAAAAUAGCAUAUCUCCAGGCAUGCAUGUGAAAUGGAUUAAAAUAUCAUAUUUCAAGGCAUGCAUGCAGCUACACAUACCAAGCUAGCUAGCUACCCGAGCCGUAGCUUAUGCUGCGCCUAGCUCGAUCACAUACCCGAUCGAAAUUUUUGACUACAGCGUGUAGAGACCCUAGCGUUGGUCUUCGUAUAAAACAUCUCCAAAUAAAUAUUUGGACAAUGCAUGGUCAAUAUGAUCGAGCAUGUGAAACCCAAUAGAAACAUCCAAGUACCGCCAAGGUAGGAAGCAGCAUAGCGCCUUCUCAUUGGGUGCGAAUGUAGCUGCCAUAGCGCCCAACUCUAAGGCGUCCAGGCUGGCCACGCUGGCAGUUGCAUAGCGCCUUAGGGAGAGGCGCUAUGCUACAGAGCUUAACGCCUAACUGUUGGGUGCUAUGUGAAAGGGUUAUAUUUGUAAAAUAGUUUCGUGACGAGUUUAUUUUGAAAAAUAGUUUUGACUCGAGGUCUGUUUUGUGGAAAUCGACACGAAAUGGCCAUAUGCAUGUAUGUGUGUAUUUAUGAUCGAUGCCACGUGCAUGUGUACCAAAAUAUGUUGUAUGCAUGCGUGACUCCUUUCCAAAACAUAAGCCAAUUUUGCAUAUAGUUGACUUUCUAAUGCUGUUUUCCUUAGAGUGUAAACUCUGUUUCAAACCUUGAGUUUGUAGAGCUGAUCGAAAUCGAACCUCCAUUUUCUGAUCCCCUGAAAUCAGUACCCUGACUUUAUUGUUUCCGGUCAUUAUUGACCAUAAGAACGUAUAAAAACAUGGAUUAUAUGCCGCGUGGACAUGGUCAAGGUUUGGAAUCGUUGACUGACUAUUGCCAACAAAAUAUCUUUUUUUUAGAAUGCCAACAAAAUAUGUUUGAAACCUUGAGUUUGUAGAGCCGAUCGAAAUCGAACCUCCACCUUCUGAUUCGUGAAAUCAACACCCUAGCCUUAUUGUUCCUGCUCAUUAUUGACCGUAAGAACGUAUUACCGCGUGGACACGGUCAAGUCUGGAAUCGCUGACUGACCAUUGCCAACAAAUUAUGUUUGAAACCUUGAGUUUUAGUUUCGUCAGAAAAAAAACCUUUAGUUUGUACAGCCGAUUUGAAUAGUGACCAUUUUAAAAGCUACGAGACCUUCUAUAGCGAGCGUGGUAAGAUGAGUUAGCGUCAGCCAACAUUAUUAGGCCUUGGCCGUGGCCAUGUGAGCAAUCCAGGAUGACAAACCUUCUUAUAAGCAAUAUUGACCGGGAACAUCAGGGUGCUGAUUUCAAAUUAAGAAAUGGAGGUUCGAUUUCGACAGUUUGUAUUCCUCCGUCCAACCAAGGAUGUCUCAACUUUGACUAAAUUUGAAUGCAUCUAUACACUAAGUCAUGUCUAGAUACAUCUAAAUUUUGACAAACUUGAGACAUCUUUUAUUGAACGGAGGGAGUACAAGUUUAAGUUUUAAAACAGACUUUACUCUCUUUUUUUAAGGGAAUGACCACUGGUCUCUGCAUCAAGAUCAAUGGAUGCACACACCCAACACACUAAUACAUUACACAACCAACAAACCAGUACUAUUAUAUGACAAAGUAUAUAACUUAUAAGUUGAGCAUUUAGUAAUACUCUAGUACAUCCGAUUAGUUCCUUCAAUGCAAGUAGGGCAUAUAACUUUUUUUGACUUUCAAAUAUUAAAAGUUUGUUCAUAGUUAACAGAUUUAAUGAUCUUCAUUUAGCAUCAUAAUUGUUGAUAUAUUUUUUAUAAUAUUAAUUUGACAGCCAACAAAUUUAUGUGACCUACAUUUUGGACAGCUUUCUCUGUAAAUAAAAGUUGAAGUUAUAUUCAAAUUGUAGACCGUUAACUGCACGUAAAAUUAUUUUGAGAAGAGAGUAUUACGUAAUAUGCAUGAUGAUCGAUUUGGCACGCUGGGCCUGGACGCCUGGUGGAGUUGGCACAACAGCUUUGCGGUGGCAGUUGCAUGCCAGUGCGUGCAUGAAGCGGUCAAACUGCGAGAUGAGUCGGUGGAUGGAAGGGAGUCAGAGAGAAGAUUCCCGUGGUCACGGUGGACUGCAGGCGAUCGCGACCGGGUCUUGCUGAUGCCGUUCGAUCAGCAUGCGUUCGUUGGGAAGCACCAGCGCCAGAGAUUACGUAUGUGCGGCUAGUAUUUUUUUUUAGUUGGAUAUGUCCGUCGAGAGAUCAGUUCAAAUUAAUCACACGUUCCUUCACAUUUUGGCCUAGAAGCACAUGUCCAGUCCUCCCAAAGGAGUUAGCAUCCAUAUGUUGCCUUUUACUUUUGUUCUAAGUCAAAAAUUUUAAAGUUUGACCAAAUUUAUAGAAGGAUUUCUUACUUCUGUGCCAUCGGUUCCUUAGUUCUACUCAGUUUUGUUCAGGUCUUGGAACACUGCUCGCUUCUACCCUCCUCCUUUGCGCAAAUGCUCGUUUUUGCCAUCACCGAGCACCUCCUCACGGUCAACUCGGUCAAGCCAUUAGCUGCGGACGGGUGGGACCGGGUAUAAGCCUGAGGGGUGGGACCAAUGCGCGCUGCUGACUGUGCGCCGAGCCGGGCUUCGACGAGCUUGACUCUGGCCACCACGACGACGGCCGCUGCGGCGUGGGGAUUGGCGCGACCAUGAGGACAAGGACCGGGACGGGGACGUGGACGCUAGGAUGAGCCGCUAGGACGCGCCGCUAGGAUGCUCUCGGUCGGCGCGCCGGACACUAGGAUGCGCCGCUGCCGCGCGCUCACGCCGCACCGUACCCUUUGCGGCGUGACGUGGUCGAGUUUCUGGCCAUUGAUCUGCCUCCGUGGGCUCGCAGGCGAGACACGAAGGGAAGCACCGGCGCCGCCGCCGCAGAAUGCGCCCCUCAACAGCGUGAAUGCGAUCAACUUGCAUCCACACCAGUACACGGGGCCAAGGAGGUAAUCGGCAUCAUGGCUGUUGGUGAGGUGCACCAGGAGGGCGGUUUUGACGCCGUGCUCGUGGAGCUGCUCCAGGCGGUACAUUGGAGGGCCACCGGCCUCCAGGUGACCGAAGUCGGUGUUGAGGAAGUUCCUGGCCAGCGCGAUCGAGCUCCGGCUGCGCGAUAUCGCCCACACCUGGAGCGUCCGCUCCACACGCACGCCAGGUGGGAACAAUGCCUCGUUAGUGAGGGGUGGCGGGUUGAAGGUGAGGCCUU